rnacentral:rRNA from 1 species
AAUCGACGCUGGCGGCGUGCCUCAGACAUGCAAGUCGAACGCGAAAGUUUCCUUCGGGGAACAAGUAGAGUGGCGCACGGGUGAGUAACACGUAGGUAAUCUACCUUUGGAUGGGGAAUAACAAUCGGAAACGGUUGCUAAUACCGCAUAAUGCAGCGGCACCUAAUGGUGACAGUUGUUAAAGCGGGGGAUCGAAAGACCUCGCGUCUGAAGAGGAGCCUGCGGCGGAUUAGCUAGUUGGUAAGGUAAUGGCUUACCAAGGCUACGAUCCGUAACCGGCCUGAGAGGGCGGUCGGUCACACUGACACUGACAUACGGGUCAGACUCCGUACGGGAGGCAGCA